rnacentral:lncRNA from 1 species
AGACAGAGUAAAAUGAUUAGAACUUCAAACAUUGCAAACUAUAAACCCUGGACACACACAGAGUAUUGAUUAAAUAACAGAACAGUGACACAGUUUCAAUGAUUGUGUCUAUUAAUAUCAAUUUAAAGGAAUUAAAGUAGAACAUGUCCAUAGACAAUCAAAGCAGUGAAAAUAAUAAUAAUAUAAAAUAUCUGCAGUUCUAAUAUGGAAUAAAGAGUUUUCACAAUUAGUAAAUAGCCCCAAUUCCUAAAAUAUUAUCCAAUCAGAGAGAACAAAGAGAGUCAUUGUACAAUAUAGAGUUAUGGUGCCAGCAGUGAGUACAGAUUACCGGGCGAUGGACAUUAUCAGAAAUAUUCAGUUAAUUCAAUCAUUGUACACACCAAUAGUCAAGCCACAACAAUAAUUCAAACAAGGGAGACUGGCCCCCAUCCAGUGAGUGUCCCCGAGCGAGACACCUAGCUGAAACCCUCAGAGAGUGUGUAUAUCGCAAUAUCCUCUUUAUCUAAUGUUAAAGCAAUGCAAUAUGUUAGCACUACAAAAAUCUAUCAAGUAAUAACAGAGAAAAUAGAAUAGAAUGGAAAUAGAGUGCGCUGACUGAUCCAACAAAGAGAUUACUAUUAAUGUUAGCCACUAUAUCAAGGUAAAAUGCAAUCUUUAUUAUUGAAAUAAAACGCACCAAAGACAGUCUGCUCUGCAGAAGGGAUUCUGUGAAAAAGCUACCGUGCUUGGUAGAUUAUUCCUAUUGAAUUGUGAGAGUAUUCCGAUAUUGGAAGUAAACUAUGAACAAACGGAGGAAGGGGAGAAUAUGAGUAAGUCUCCUCUUUUAACUAAACCUCACACACUGUAUCUAAGUGGUAGUCACCUAGUAGAAUGGAUUAGAUGGUACAAAAAUGCGAUGUAACCAAACCCAGUCAGUGAAAGUAGAAAAUACCACUUAGAACUCCCAUUAGAUUGUAGGAAGGUAUACAGAUUGCUAGAAGGUAGCAUUUGGUAUGAAAGCAAUGUUUGAAUACACAACAGGAAGUAGUAUUGGAGUAAGAAUUAAAGUUUAGAAAAAAGGCAACAUUAAAGUGUAGUUAAUACGGGUAUAAAGUAUCCCCUGCCUCUAUAUGCUAAAGAUAAAUACUAUACCUCUAAUAAUAUGCUAAUGUGGGAUGGCGGUGCUGGUGCAUAUACUACAUCCCCAUAAUCAAUGAUUGGCAUCAGCAUUUGCUGUACAAUCUUUUCCUUUACUGUAGCGCUUAGGCAGGAUUUGUUUCUGUACAGGGCACCUAGUUUUGGAUAAAGUUUAAAUGCAAGUUUUUCUUUGUGGAGGCCAAAAGAUAGAUUGUGGUCUAACAACAUACCCAAGUAUUUGAAAGAAUGGACUGCGGUCAUUGUGCCAUUUGAAUUUGUUUUGGUGGAUAGGUGGGAAUUGUGUAAUUUGUGUAAUUUAGGUACUGUUCCAAAUAUCAUUGUGACAGUUUUGUCAGUGUUCAGGAAGAGUUUGUUUUUUGCGAUCCACUUUUCUACCUCUGUAAACUGGUCUUGGAGCACAGCCUCAAGCUGCGGUGGAUCGGAUUUGCUCGCAUAGAUUACUGUGUCGUCUGCGUACAUGUGUACAUUUGAGGAUUGGCAGACAUUAGGCAGAUCAUUUAUAAAUAAUGUGAAUAGUAGGGGGCCGAGAAUGGAACCUUGGGGAACACCACACGUGACUGGGAGAGGGAGGGAGUCAUUGUCAGAAAUGGACACAUAUUGCGAGCGAUCCGAUACAUACGAUCGAAACCAGUUUAGAGAAUGAUCACCAAUACCUGAGUUUUUGAGUUUGUGCAGUAGAAUGUCGUGGUCUACUGUGUCAAAGGCCUUAGCAAAAUCAAAGAAAAUAGCUCCAGUUAGGUCUCCUUGUUCCAUGCCAGUUUGGAUUUCAUUGCAAACUUUUAAGAGGGCAGUUGUAGUGGAGUGAUUCUGGUGAAAACCCGAUUGAUCAGGGGUCAGAUAGAUUGUUGGUAGUACUCACAAAGUUGUGGAUGGACGCAUUUUUCUAAGAUUUUUGAUAAUACUGGCAGCAAUGAUAUUGGGCGAUAGUUAGAAACCAAAGUUAGGAUUAGAGUUUAGAACAAAGACAACAUUGAAGUGUAGUUCACAUAAAUAUGAAGAAUAACCUGCCUCUAAAGUCUAAAGGUAGAUAAUAUAUUGGAGUGCGGUGACUAAUUCUAUAAUAUAAAUAGUGACAUAGCAUGCGUAUAG